GAUAAACGCUGGCGGCGUGCCUAAUACAUGCAAGUCGAGCGAACAGACGAGGAGCUUGCUCCUCUGAUGUUAGCGGCGGACGGGUGAGUAACACGUGGAUAACCUACCUAUAAGACUGGGAUAACUUCGGGAAACCGGAGCUAAUACCGGAUAACAUGUUGAACCGCAUGGUUCAACAGUGAAAGACGGUCUUGCUGUCACUUAUAGAUGGAUCCGCGCCGCAUUAGCUAGUUGGUAAGGUAACGGCUUACCAAGGCAACGAUGCGUAGCCGACCUGAGAGGGUGAUCGGCCACACUGGAACUGAGACACGGUCCAGACUCCUACGGGAGGCAGCAGUAGGGAAUCUUCCGCAAUGGGCGAAAGCCUGACGGAGCAACGCCGCGUGAGUGAAGAAGGUCUUCGGAUCGUAAAACUCUGUUAUUAGGGAAGAACAAAUGUGUAAGUAACUAUGCACGUCUUGACGGUACCGAAUCAGAAAGCCACGGCUAACUACGU
rnacentral:rRNA from 1 species